rnacentral:rRNA from 1 species
UGUGAACUCGAAGAGUAGGGCGGGACACGUGGUAUCCUGUCUGAAUAUGGGGGGACCAUCCUCCAAGGCUAAAUACUCCUGACUGACCGAUAGUGAACCAGUACCGUGAGGGAAAGGCGAAAAGAACCCCGGCGAGGGGAGUGAAAAAGAACCUGAAACCGUGUACGUACAAGCAGUGGGAGCACCUUCGGGUGUGACUGCGUACCUUUUGUAUAAUGGGUCAGCGACUUAUAUUCUGUAGCAAGGUUAACCGUAUAGGGGAGCCGCAGGGAAACCGAGUCUUAACUGGGCGUUAAGUUGCAGGGUAUAGACCCGAAACCCGGUGAUCUAGCCAUGGGCAGGUUGAAGGUUGGGUAACACUAACUGGAGGACCGAACCGACUAAUGUUGAAAAAUUAGCGGAUGACUUGUGGCUGGGGGUGAAAGGCCAAUCAAACCGGGAGAUAGCUGGUUCUCCCCGAAAGCUAUUUAGGUAGCGCCUCGUGAACUCAUCUUCGGGGGUAGAGCACUGUUUCGGCUAGGGGGUCAUCCCGACUUACCAACCCGAUGCAAACUACGAAUACCGAAGAAUGUUAUCACGGGA